UUGUGUUAUAUUCUCAGAAGCAAGAGAAGCACAGAACAGGAGCUCUUGAUUGGAAGUGAGGGGAGCAGGAGGCAGGUGCUGAAUAACUGCUUGCAGGCUACAGCUGUUUGUUGUGGUUGAGUUUAAAGACUGUUGCUGGAGAAAAGUUAGAGGUUUCUAUUGAAGGGUUCCCACAACCAAAAAAAAAAAAGAGUUGAUUUCAAAGUUAUUUAAGGACAAAAAAGCAAGCCCAGAUGUGCGUAUUAUCUAUACAUCAAUGUGCAUACAUAUGCUUCUCUAAAAGUAGUUUUUGACACUGACUUUAUUCUUUAUUUUACAUGUGAAAGGCAGCAUAGAAAGCAAAUGACUACUGAAUGGAAACAUUACAUAUUAAAAUAUUAUAGUUAUUUUUAUGAUUGUUACACCUUAACACCUGUGUUAAAACAGCAGUCUGGAUAGAAUCUUAGUUUGUGCUGCCUUUUAGCAGUACAUUCUCUUGAGCAGGGAUUGCAUAUUUGCAUCUAUUAGAAUAGUGCCUUCUCUAACGAAAUAUACAUAUACAAUAAUAAUCUUUAAAGGAGUACAUUGUCCUUCCUGUCAAAACUACAUUAGGACUGACUAAUAUGUCUAAUGAGAGUGCUGUUGUCAACACAGUGCUCCUCUCUUUUGUCAAUAGUCCUUUUUUUCCUGAAAACUGACUUGUACCUGAUAUAUAAAAAUUGUUGUACAACUUUCUUGUACAAUCAAAUGCUUUGUGCUACACUAUGUGGCCCAAAACACAUUUAGAAGAUAUAUAAUCUAUAUAAAUAUUCAAAACAAAAUUAGAAAUAAGGGUCACAAAAUUAGAAGUAAGUGUCCAUGCCAGGCUGAUUUCAGUCACGUCAGAACAUGUCUGCUGAUCUGGCUUUUUUUCUUCUUGUAGUACUGUGGACUCACUCCUAAGUAUUACCAAAAGCACUGGGACUUUGACUUCUCAGUAGUGAUGUUUCUCAAAUGUUUCCAUGGAAUUUAGAGAGCUCCUGCAGACAUAAUGCGUAGUCUGAUUUCACUUUAUUGGAAUCAUUUAAAAAUUGUAUAGCAGAAGAGUUCACCAGUAUUUUUUGUAUUAUCUUAAAACUUGUAAUAUGUUUUACUUAGAUUUAAUUCAAAUUUUUGUCCUAUUCCUAAGGAGUAACAUUCAACAUUCAAAAAGAAGCACUCUAGAUGGCACUCUGUUGGCAAUCUUAGCAGAGAAGCUGAAGAUUGAGUAACAAAAUUUCAUAAGGAUGUUUAGCAAAAUGCCUCAGAGCCUUAUCUGCUGCAGUUAAUUUCAAUUACUUUGUCCCUGAUUUUAGACUGUUGAUACAAGGACUUGGUCUCUCCAGCUACUUAUGUAACAUCACAUCCUGAUUCCUUUAAUAAAAAUACCCCCAUUUCUUAAAAUAUCUCCCAGGGCAGCUCAAAGUAUAUUAUUGAUUUGGUGGAGUUUGGCAUGUUCUGCAGAGUGGGAAUUUGAAUCUGUUCAGCAGAAUUUAGUUUGUUUUAAACAUUCUCUAAAUAUUCAAAUAUACUAUGAAAUGUUGUUAAUUAAAAAUACAACGAGCUUGUGAAUAAGAAGAAAAGAAGCAGUUAUCCAGAUUCACUGUGUCCCUUUGCUGUGAAUUUUCUCUAAAGAGAUGUCUGCAUAGAAAAUUAUUUAACAGGUCAUAGGCUUCAAAAGACAAUGAAGUUAUCAUCUGCUCUGAUCUCCCAUGGAAUUUGAGCACAUGGAUAUUCUAUGCUGGAGAGCUAAUUGAGUAUCUAUAGAAAAACAAUGUAAUUUUUUUCUUACGUUGUCUGUUACCUAGUUAACAUUUCUUAUUUUGCUUAUCACACUAAAUUUUUGUGUCUGUUUUUUAAUUUGAUUACAACUUCUUGGGAUGGCUGUUGGCUUUUUCAGUGUUUUUCUGCAAAGCCUAGCUUAACAAGGCAUGAAUCUGGGCUGUGGCCUUUACAUCUUGUCUCUCAUUACUGAUGAUAAUGUAUUGCCACUAAUUAUGAUAAAUUUUUCUGGUGGGGCUAUCUUUGACUUUCUUCAUGGUCAGUAGGAACUUGGAGGCAUAUGUCUAGUUAAAAAUAAAAUGCAAAUAUUGUACAGCACCCAUUAGGGUGGAGUACUCAGAUAACUUUAUAGACUAGAAAAGGAUACUAGAAAGAUCAAGUUUUCAGCCUCACAGAAGUCUUUAUAUAGUGUGCUCAGUGGCAAGAAGUACUGCAUUAGUAGGUGGAGAGGGGAAAUAUUAGAACAUUUUUUAAAUGUUGAUUAAUUGCUGUCAAGUUUUGUAUUUAAAACAAGAUCUGUGUUUAAAAAGAACUGAUCUAGGAGUCUGACCACAGACAAAUCAUGAACAAUGCCUGCCAUUGUAUGGGUACCACUAUCAUAAAAAGUCAUGGAGUAAGCAGCAACCUUCAGGAGGAUACAAAAUAAGAAGAUGUGAAAGACUGAGGGUGGAAGGACUUAAUGUUCCACAAAAGAUUGGAAUAAAAGAUUAAGAGAUGUUACUGAAACCACAUGCUAUUUUUUUCAGCUGUCAUACAACUGACAUAUAGCUAUAUGCCAUUUAUAUAGGAGCUAAUGAAAAGCUUUCCAAAGCACUGCAUGAAAAAAUGUGGUCACACUUGUUUCCCUUUCAUACAAAUGAUUUUUAGCACAGAAGACGACGUUUCCUGCAUUUUUCAUGAAUGUAGUUUCAGAAACCAAUGUAGUCAGUGAAAAUUUGCCUGGAAGAGCCAAUGGAACUAUUUUUCCUCUGCCUGGAAAGCACUCAGGCCUUUAGGAGAAGAGGAUUCAUCUUGUCUAUUUUCAGACAUCUAUAUUUGAGAUGUCUGCCUUGGGGUGAGAUGAACUGAACGCUUGAAGGGUCUGUUUCUCUCUGCUGACUUUAAAAAAAGUCUAGCUGACUAGCUCAUGUGUAGAUGGCUGCAUUUUGUCAGGUGAAUCUCACUCUGGAAAUCAACAGUAAAAUGUUGUCCUCUGCCAAUGUGUAGAGGAAGAAGAAAACAGAUGGUACAGGAAAAUUUUUGGUGUGGUGGUCUUUUCCUCCCAGUGUAAUGCUAAUGGGAUCCAUCCACAGCAGUAGAUCUACUAACUAUAUAACCAUCCUGCUGACAGGAAUUUCAAAAAAGCAAGGACUUCAGCAAAGCAAGGCUGAU